UACACUCCUGCGGGAGGCAGCAGUGGGGAAUUUUGGACAAUGGGCGCAAGCCUGAUCCAGCCAUGCCGCGUGCGGGAAGAAGGCCUUCGGGUUGUAAACCGCUUUUGUCAGGGAAGAAAAGGUUCUGGCUAAUACCUGGGACUCAUGACGGUACCUGAAGAAUAAGCACCGGCUAACUACGUGCCAGCAGCCGCGGUAAUACGUAGGGUGCAAGCGUUAAUCGGAAUUACUGGGCGUAAAGCGUGCGCAGGCGGUUAUGCAAGACAGAGGUGAAAUCCCCGGGCUCAACCUGGGAACUGCCUUUGUGACUGCAUGGCUAGAGUACGGUAGAGGGGGAUGGAAUUCCGCGUGUAGCAGUGAAAUGCGUAGAUAUGCGGAGGAACACCGAUGGCGAAGGCAAUCCCCUGGACCUGUACUGACGCUCAUGCACGAAAGCGUGGGGAGCAAACAGGAUUAGAUACCCCAGUAGUCCCAUGA
rnacentral:rRNA from 1 species